AGGCAUGAUUCUGUGUCUAACAUGUAGUCAUGCAGAAUUUCAGCAACCUAGUUGAUUUCUAAUUUUAAUUUUUAAUGAGAUCAGAUCUCAUACCUUUUUGCUUUGAGAACUUUGAUGAUUCCUUGAUCACCUUGUAUAGCCGCACACGUGUCCGGCCUCUACGGAUAGUCCACGCGAAGCUCUAGGAAGAUCCACAACUGCAGGAGUGCUAGCUCGUGCAGAG
rnacentral:lncRNA from 1 species